UACGUAGGGGGCAAGCGUUGUCCGGAAUCAUUGGGCGUAAAGCGCGUGUAGGCGGUUCGGUAAGUCUGCUGUGAAAGUCCAGGGCUCAACCCUGGGAUGCCGGUGGAUACUGUCGGACUAGAGUACGGAAGAGGCGAGUGGAAUUCCCGGUGUAGCGGUGAAAUGCGCAGAUAUCGGGAGGAACACCAAUUGCGAAGGCAGCUCGCUGGGACGUUACUGACGCUGAGACGCGAAAGCGUGGGAGCA
rnacentral:rRNA from 1 species